ensembl:lncRNA
AAACAAAAGAAAAGUGUCUAUAAGAGUGACUCAGGAGUGCUCUUGCACUGAUUUAUCAAAGUAAGUGAUUAGUAUAGAAAGAAAAUGAAAAUAAUUCAAUGAUGUGAUAAGGUUUAAAAACAUGUAUUCCUCUUGUUAAGUUGGCUGUUGAGCUGUGGGUUUAUGCAAAUUAGCUGGAGUGAGUGAGUGACAAAGACACUUCCUGUGUGCGUGUGUGGCGGAGGCUUUCGGUUCAGUUCAAGAGAGAGCAGUGGCUGUUGAAGAGUAUUGGGAGAAAUAUAUAAUGGCCUGGAAGAGAGUGAACGGACGGCGCUGACAAAAUUACCAAGUACGAAAAUCAGGUGGGCUUUACAGAAUUAUAAUUGAUUACAAUCAGAGACUGAUUGGCGGCAAGUCUCUGUCUAAAAAUGGAUUGAUCGAUUCAAUCCAGUCAAAAGUAUAGAGAACUAUUUUCCUAAAAAGGAAAACGAAAUAAAACAAAUGAUUGAACUGAUUUUGCUGAUGUGGAGCAUCUGAUGACGUGCGCGGAAGGCUGCAGAUCAGCAAAAAAAUAUCAUGUGUGAAUGCAUGGGAGUGAAUGUGAGUGGUUGGACCAAGGGGGGAAAUAAAUAAAAGGUUGACAAACAGGAGAAGUGGAAGACUUAAAUCUGGGGAUGCUGAUGUUCCUUUGAGUGAAUUUCUGCUUUGUUGAUUUGGGUUAGACCAUAUUAAUACAUUAUAAAAUGCUAAAAGGGAAACAUUGAUGUAACUCAAGUUACCAUUAACUGAGGUAACACAUGAUUAAUAACUGUUCUGUUCAAGUUUAUUUUUUGUUAUGACAUAGACGGGAUCAUAAGGGGAGAGUUGAGUAUGAAAUGUAAACUACAGGUUUUGUUUUCAGGAAAUUCCAAGGAUCCAGACCUUGCAUGGAGCAACGAGUUGGAGGAGAUUUGACAUGAUGAUUAAAUUGAUUUUGUUCCUUAAACACAGGUUUUCAGGGCUGAAGCAAAACACCGGAGAGGAGAAUUGCUGAGCGGUUCUGGGCAAUGAAAUGACUAACCUUUUUCCUUUUAAUUUGUUAAGCUUGGGUG